GACGAACGCUGGCGGCGUGCUUAACACAUGCAAGUCGAACGGAAAGGCCCUGCUUUCGUGGGGUUCUCGAGUGGCGAACGGGUGAGUAACCCGUGAGUAAGCUGCCUUUGACUUUGGGACAACUUCAGGAAACUGGGGCUAAUACCGGAUAGGUGCUCCUGCUGCAUGGUGGGGGUCGGAAAGUUUCGGCGGUUGGGGAUGGACUUGCGGUUUAUUAGCUUGUUGGUGGGGGAGUGGCCUACCAAGGCUUUGACGGGUAGCCGGCCUGAGAGGGUGACCGGCCACAUUAGGACUGAGAUAGGGACCAGACUCGUACAGUAGGCAGCGGUGGGAAAUAUUACACAGUGGGCGCAAGCCUGAUAAAGAGGCGCCGCGUGCGGGAUGACGGCCUUGGGGUUAUAAACCGCUUUCACCUGUGACGAAGCGUGAGUGACGGUAAUGGGUAAAGAAGCACCGGCUAACUACGUG
rnacentral:rRNA from 1 species